rnacentral:rRNA from 1 species
AACUUUCAACAACGGAUCUCUUGGUUCUGGCAUCGAUGAAGAACG